rnacentral:rRNA from 1 species
CGGGUGAGUAACACGUGGUCAACCUUCCCUACAGUGGGGGAUAACUAGCCGAAAGGUUAGCUAAUACCGCAUACGUCUCCGAGUGGCAUCACUUGGCGAUAAAAGGAGCAAUCCGCUCGAUGACGGGACCGCGUCCCAUUAGCUAGAUGGUGGGGUAACGGCCUACCAUGGCACCGAUGGGUAGCUGGUUUGAGAGAGCGACCAGCCACACUGGGACUGAGAAACGGCCCAG